UUCUGUGCAGUUAAGUUCCCUUCAGGGUUUGGAGGCUGCUCUGAGUUCUCUGUCAGGUAGUCUCUCUCUAGGUUUUGUCCAGGGUUUUGUUCCAAGGAAACCUCAGAGUGUUUUGCUUCUCUUCCUUUUUCUGUUUGUUUUGUUUCACUGAAACUCUAGUAUUUAUAGGCUAAUAUUGGUAGCUUAGUGGGCUUUUGAGAGAGGUCCAAGUUUGAGAUUUUUUCUUUUAUUUAUUUAUUUAUUUAAUUAUUUAUUUAAUUAUUUAUUUAUUUAAUUAAUUAAUUAUUUAUUUAUUUUUCGUUUUUCGUUUUUUUUUUUUUUUUGAAAUUUUUUUCCGAUUGCCAUGUUGA
rnacentral:lncRNA from 1 species